GACAGAGGGUGCAAACGUUGUUCGGAAUUACUGGGCGUAAAGCGUGUGUAGGCGGCCAUGUAAGUCAGGUGUGAAAGCCCCGGGCUCAACCCGGGAAGUGCACUUGAUACUGCGUGGCUUGAGUAUCGGAGAGGUUGGUGGAAUUCUCGGUGUAGAGGUGAAAUUCGUAGAUAUCGAGAGGAACACCGGUGGCGAAGGCGGCCAACUGGACGAAUACUGACGCUGAGACACGAAAGCGUGGGGAGCAAACAGG
rnacentral:rRNA from 1 species